rnacentral:pre_miRNA from 1 species
UCCUGCGGAUGAGCAAAGAAAGUGUUUUCUUGAGAUGGAAACUAUUCCUGGUGAAGAUGCUGUGAA